GCUCAGGACGAACGCUGGCGGCAUGCCUAAUACAUGCAAGUCGAGCGGAGUUUGAAUGGAAGCUUGCUUCCAUUCUUACUUAGCGGCGGACGGGUGAGUAACACGUAGGCAACCUGCCCUCAAGACUGGGAUAACUACCGGAAACGGUAGCUAAUACCGGAUAAUUUCUUUCCUCUCCUGAAGAGAGAAUGAAAGGCGGAGCAAUCUGCCACUUGGGGAUGGGCCUGCGGCGCAUUAGCUAGUUGGUGGGGUAACGGCUCACCAAGGCGACGAUGCGUAGCCGACCUGAGAGGGUGAACGGCCACACUGGGACUGAGACACGGCCCAGACUCCUACGGGAGGCAGCAGUAGGGAAUCUUCCGCAAUGGGCGAAAGCCUGACGGAGCAAUGCCGCGUGAGUGAUGAAGGUUUUCGGAUCGUAAAGCUCUGUUGCCAGGGAAGAACGUCCGGUAGAGUAACUGCUACCGGAGUGACGGUACCUGAGAAGAAAGCCCCGGCUAACUACGUGCCAGCAGCCGCGGUAAUACGUAGGGGGCAAGCGUUGUCCGGAAUUAUUGGGCGUAAAGCGCGCGCAGGCGGUCAUUUAAGUCUGGUGUUUAAACCUUGGGCUCAACCUGGGGUCGCACUGGAAACUGGGUGACUUGAGUACAGAAGAGGAAAGUGGAAUUCCACGUGUAGCGGUGAAAUGCGUAGAUAUGUGGAGGAACACCAGUGGCGAAGGCGACUUUCUGGGCUGUAACUGACGCUGAGGCGCGAAAGCGUGGGGAGCAAACAGGAUUAGAUACCCUGGUAGUCCACGCCGUAAACGAUGAGUGCUAGGUGUUAGGGGUUUCGAUACCCUUGGUGCCGAAGUUAACACAGUAAGCACUCCGCCUGGGGAGU
rnacentral:rRNA from 1 species